rnacentral:rRNA from 1 species
UACAGGGGGGGCAAGCGUUGUUCGGAAUUACUGGGCGUAAAGGGCGUGCAGGUGGUCUGUUAAGUCUGGCGUGAAAGCUCUCGGCUAAACCGGGAGAGGUCGUUGGAUACUGGCGGACUAGAGGACGGUAGAGGCGUGUGGAAUUCCGGGUGUAGUGGUGAAAUGCGUAGAGAUCCGGAGGAACACCAGUGGCGAAGGCGACACGCUGGGCCGUACCUGACACUAAAACGCGACAGCAUGGGGAGCGAACGGG